CUCUGUAUAACAGUCGUAAUUUAUGGGACAAUACGACAGUUGGACAACUCUGGUAAAACUAGAGCUAAUACAUGCACAAAUGUCUUGACUUUCAAAGAAAAGACGCAUAUAUCAGUAAAACGCCGAAACCUUUAUGGUUUUUUAAUUGACUCUGGGUACAGAAUCCGAUCGAUUUACUUUAUAGUAAACGACACUGAUCGUAAGCGUCUGACCUAUCAACCUUGAUGGUGGUAUCUUUUACCGCUAUGGUUGUAACGGGUAACGGGGAAUCAGGGUUCGAUUCCGGAGAAAGAGCCUGCGAAACGGCUGUUACAUCUAAGGAAGGCAGCAGGCGCGCAAAUUACCCAAUCCCCGAUCGGGGAGGUAGUGACGAGAAAUGACGAUGCCGUAAUCUUUUGAUUCGGCUAUUGAAAUGAGAACGAUGAAAGAAUGUUAUCGAGCAUCUAUUGGAGGGCAAGCUCUGGUGCCAGCAGCCGCGGUAACUCCAGCUCGAAAAGUGUCUGUUAAUGCUGCUGUGCUUGAAACGCUCGUAGUUGGACUUUAGGUAAUAGCCCGUUAUCGACUUUUUGUUCGUGAAAUGGGAAUGUACCGUUUUUAGUGCCUAUCUUCGUGAUUUACUUAAUCGUGUCACGAUUGAAGGCCAAUGUCACUUUGGAGAAACCAGCGUGCUCAUAGCAGGUCUUUGCCUGUAUAAUACUGCGUGGGAUGACGGAAUUCGGCCCUAGUUCUGUUUCUGGCUACGUUGCAGGGCCAUGAUUAAUCGAGACAGACGGGGGCAUUCGUAUUGCGGCGCUAGAAGUGAAAUUCUGUGACCGCCGUAAGACGAACAAUUGCGAAAGCAUUUGCCAAGCAUGUUUUCGUUAAUCAAGAACGAAGGUUAGAGUAUCGAAGACGAUUAGAUACCGUCCUAGUUCUAACUGCAAACUAUGCCAACCAGGGUUUCGUUAAUGCCUUUGUGCUUUACGAACACCCUUCGGGAAACCUGAGUAAUCGGGUUCCGGGGGGAGUAUGGUUGCAGAAUCGAAACUUAAAGGAAUUGACGGAAGGGCACACCAGGAGUGGAGCCUGCGGCUUAAUUUGACUCAACGCACGAAAGCCGACUCGGUCCGAACACUAGAAGGAUUGACAGACUGAAAGCUCUUUCUUGAUUCAGUGGGUAGCGGUGCAUGGCCGUUCGUUGUUGGUGAAGUGAUUUGUCUGGUUGAUUCCGAUAACGAACGAGACUCUAGCCUAUUAAAUAGCAUAGCAACUAUACGUUGUUUAUUUAUAGCUUCUUAAAGGGACAAGUGCUUCUAAGGCGCACGAGAAAGAGCAAUAACAGGUCUGUGAUGCCCUUCGAUGUUCGAGGCUGCACGCGCGCUACAAUAGAGAGCCUAGAGCGCAUAAUGUGUUCCGAAAGGACCGCAGAAUCGUUAAUGGCCUCUGUAAUUGGGAUCGGAGCUUGAAAUUAUUCUUCGUGAACGAGGAAUUUCUAGUAAGUGCGAGUCAUUAUCUCGUGCUGAUUGAGUCCCUGCCCUUUGUACACACCGCCCGUCGCUACUACCGAUCGAACGAUUCGGUGAGGUCAGUUGACCUACGUGUGAGGUAUCCGAAAGGAUCUUCACGCUUUGAACGAAAGCUGAACGAGCUGAGGCGCUCAG
rnacentral:rRNA from 1 species